rnacentral:rRNA from 1 species
GUGUCAGCAGCCGCGGUAAUACGUAGGGGGCUAGCGUUGUCCGGAAUCAUUGGGCGUAAAGAGCGCGUAGGCGGCUGGAUUAGUCCGGUGUGAAAUCCACAGGCUUAACCUGUGAAUGCCGCUGGAAACUGUCUGGCUAGAGUCCGGAAGGGGCGAGUGGAAUUCCUGGUGUAGCGGUGAAAUGCGCAGAUAUCAGGAGGAACACCAAUGGCGAAGGCAGCUCGCUGGGACGGUACUGACGCUGAGGCGCGAAAGCGUGGGGAGCGAACAGGAUUAGAUACCCCCGUAGUCC